AAAAAAAUGGAAGCAAACAACGAAUUAUUGGAAAAUGCAAAUCAGUGUGGUGCUAAUGAAGAUUCUGGAGGUGUGUGCGUUUUACACAGAAGUAAUGAAAUAUUCGAAGAUUCAAGAAGUUCUGGUAAUGACCAGGAGGAUUCCGAACAUAACAACAUUUUACAUACAAU